UAGCGGCAGACGGGUGCGUAACGCGUAUGAAACUUACCCUACACAGGAGGAUAGCCUUGGGAAACUGAGAGUAACCCUCCAUAGUCUUGUCAUGCCGCAUGGUAUAAUAAGUAAAACUUCGGUGGUGUAGGAUAGUCGUGCGUCCGAUUAGCUAGUUGGUGAGGUAAUGGCUCACCAAGGCGACGAUCGGUAGCUGGUCUGAGAGGAUGAUCAGCCACACGGGCACUGAGACACGGGCCCGACUCCUACGGGAGGCAGCAGUAAGGAAUAUUGGACAAUGGACGGAAGCCUGAUCCAGCCAUUCCGCGUGCAGGAUGAAGGCCCUCGGGUUGUAAACUGCUUUUGUACAGAACGAAAAGGUUUCUAUUAAUACUAGGAGCUCAUGACGGUACUGUAAGAAUAAGCACCGGCUAACUACGUGCCAGCAGCCGCGGUAAUACGUAGGGUGCAAGCGUUAAUCGGAAUUACUGGGCGUAAAGCGUGCGCAGGCGGUUAUAUAAGUCAGAUGUGAAAUCCCCGGGCUCAACCUGGGAACUGCAUUUGAGACUGUAUAGCUAGAGUACGGUAGAGGGGGAUGGAAUUCCGCGUGUAGCAGUGAAAUGCGUAGAUAUGCGGAGGAACACCGAUGGCGAAGGCAAUCCCCUGGACCUGUACUGACGCUCAUGCACGAAAGCGUGGGGAGCAAACAGGAUUAGAUACCCUGGUAGUCCACGCCCUAAACGAUGUCAACUGGUUGUUGGGUCUUAACUGACUCAGUAACGAANCUAACGCGUGAAGUUGACCGCCUGGGGAGUACGG
rnacentral:rRNA from 1 species